CAGUAGCUGCGGUAACACGGAGGGUGCAAGCGUUAAUCGGAAUUACUGGGCGUAAAGCGCACGCAGGCGGUCUGACAAGUCAGAUGUGAAAUCCCCGGGCUUAACCUGGGAACUGCAUUUGAAACUGUCAGGCUGGAGUCUUGUAGAGGGGGGUAGAAUUCCAGGUGUAGCGGUGAAAUGCGUAGAGAUCUGGAGGAAUACCGGUGGCGAAGGCGGCCCCCUGGACAAAGACUGACGCUCAGGUGCGAAAGCGUGGGGAGCAAACAGGAUUAGAUACCCCAGUAGUCCCUGUCUCUUAUAA
rnacentral:rRNA from 1 species